UCUCUUUAUUAUUUUCUCCCACGUGACACAAGGCAUGAGAGCAACGCUAUCGUCAAUGAUCCUGAAAUAGCGCUUUCCGACUCGAAGAAUUCCACCUACGAACGUACAACAUAUAUAGCGGAACGCACUGCGACAGUGUAAAGAUGUGUCAUGUCCUGUGGAGAUCGAAAUAGAAGCGUCGGCUGUUGUCCGGUGUUCGUAUAUUCCGCCUGAAGAUCGAUCACGAGCAUGUCCAGAGAGGAAAGAAGAGCGCUCGCUGAGAUUCUAACUGCAGCGACUCAACCCUGACUCUGACGACCGUAACAAAGAUCCUAUCGAUCGUAUGCGCCUUCGUUCAUCGCCUCGGCUUAUCGACAGCCCACUUGUCUGCUUAGUAGCAUCAGCGACUCCCUUGCACCUGGAAUGCGGCACCGCUACGCUAUUCGGAGAAUAUUUCUUCACGUAAGAACGAAAUUUGUAUUAACGAAGAGAGCGCGCGAGCGAGCGCUGCGCCUGGAGAUUGGUUGCUGUGGCUGGAUUCAAUUACGCGUAUACUUCGAAAGAGACGCCGGCGCUGCAGUCUCGGCCAGAGAAAUUAAGAUCUUUUUGAUGUCUGCAGAUAGCCAGCCGACAUGUUCUGUAUCCACCCGACCGUUCGUCUGGUCGCGCAUUACGAAUAUCUGCGGCUAGUAACAGUCUGAAGUAAUUAAAAUAACACCAAGGUAGCAAAUUAGCCAGUGCGUUUUGUUGGCGAUCGUUCCAUCUUCUUACUUCACUUCCUCCUUUCAAAAAAGUCACGCCAAACAUCUAAAUUGUUAAAGGUUUUCUUUUUAAAUACGAUUAAAAUACAAGAAUGUGCACAUGCCAAAUAUUUGAUACUUAAUCACCGUGCAUAUACCAGUCUUACCGAAUGCAUUUAUCUGACGAUCGUGCAGUAUUCAUUACGUCAUCGUGUAGAACAAGUAAUUUAAUUAUAAACUUGAUAAUUUAUAAUAAAUUCAGAAGUUA